rnacentral:rRNA from 1 species
UACGUAGGGUGCGAGCGUUGUCCGGAAUUAUUGGGAGUAAAGAGCUUGUAGGCGGUUUGUCGCGUCUGCCGUGAAAUUUCGGGGCUCAACCCCGAACUUGCGGUGGGUACGGGCAGACUAGAGUGUGGUAGGGGAGACUGGAAUUCCUGGUGUAGCGGUGAAAUGCGCAGAUAUCAGGAGGAACACCGAUGGCGAAGGCAGGUCUCUGGGCCACUACUGACGCUGAGAAGCGAAAGCAUGGGGAGCGAACGGG